CGGCAACAGCUCAAAUUUGAAAUCUGGCUCUUUUAGAGUCCGAGUUGUAAUUUGUAGAGGAUACUUUUGAUGCGGUGCCUUCCGAGUUCCCUGGAACGGGACGCCAUAGAGGGUGAGAGCCCCGUCUGGUUGGAUGCCAAAUCUCUGUAAAGUUCCUUCGAC
rnacentral:rRNA from 1 species